CUUGGCGUCGUCAUGUGGUUUCUUUACAGACUCGUUGGUCUGUGACAGUAAGCUGUGACUGCUAGACCGUGAGCUGGGAGGGAGCGAUACUGUUGGUGAUUGUCUUGAGCACAUCCCUAGCACAUAACCCACAAGAGGCCCUAGUAUGCAGAUGAGGAUGUGACAGUGAUUUUGGAGUUGCCUUCAACUUUGGGGGAACAGAAGAAACUGAAACACAAAACAAACUUAGAGAAGCUGAAAGAAGCUAAAGUAUUUAAAAACAUAUUAAAUGGGAAUCACUUCUUACCUUGAAAUGUUCUCAAAUGUCAUAGCACAAGAGAACCGCGGUGGCAUUGUGAAUAUAAGACCAAAAGAAGAUGGCAGCAACAGACCAUGGAACACGUCUGUACUGUUUUCCAGUCUCCACGGCCACCACCUGCCUCCACAGGCACCACCUAAGGAUUCUCAGAGCUGCAGGAAUGAGAGUUUUUUCAACUUUUAUCCUCAUGGUGACUCCCCAUGCAGUUUCUUGAGGGCUGUGGUAAACCAUUUCUCUGUAAUAAAAAUACCCAUGAUACUCUUUUCUCUACUGCCUCUUUGAAAUGUAAGAUGGCAGUAUUUAAAAAAAAAAGAUGGCAGUAUUAAAAUUGCUUAUAUUGAAUGUACUGUCAUUUCCAAAAUUCUUCACAUGGUCAAAUAAAAAUAUUCUCUUUGAAUAUGCA
rnacentral:lncRNA from 1 species